AUGGGGUUGCUAGCUCUGAAGCUGCUCAUGUCCAGGCAGCGGGGCAGCAAGCAUCUCGGCGGCCAGAUUCAAGCCCGCAAUAGAUCGGUAGCUUCAGCAGCUAAAAGAAAGAUCUCUUCAUGCCAACACAGUAACCUUCAAGGUUGCAAGAGAAUGGCAUUUUCAGGGCCAGACCUUCCAGAGGACAUCUGGCGCCAUAUACAUUCCCUGCUGCCGCUGCGAGAUGCUGCCCGUGUUGCCAGCGUAUCUCAUGCAUUUUUACGUUCUUGGAAGUGCCAUCCUAACCUCACCUUCAGUAGGAAAGCACUGGGCCUGAAUGGAAUUCCAUGUCAAAACGAUGUAAUUGCAAGGGAUCUCACGAUGAAAGUUGAUCGCAUUCUGAAAAAACACUCAGGCAAAGGAGUUAAGAAAUUCAGGAUCGAAUUAUACAUUAUAGUUGAUCCCUGUUAUCUUAAUAGCUGGCUCCAGAUUGCCACUAAACUACGGAUUGAGGAACUCGCCAUUGUUCUACCUUCAACCUACAAUGCAAACUGCUAUGAUUUCCCGUGUGCACUUUUUGUUGAUGAUGGGUGUAGAAACACGAUAGAGCAUCUCUGCCUUGGUGGUUGUGCCUUCCAUCCGACGGCUGGAUUUGGUAACUUGAGAAGGCUCCAGCUAUUUUGGGUUCGUAUUACGGUGGAUGAAUUAGGAUGCCUAAUUUUCAAUUCUUCUGCUUUGGAGCACUUGACACUAAAGUAUUGCAAUACGAUCACUUACCUGAAGAUACCUAGCCUGCUACAGCAUCUCAGCUACCUGAUGGUGUCUGAAUGCACUAAACUGCAGUUGAUAGAGUGCAAAGCUCCAAAUCUCUCCACCUUUUAUUUCAAUGGUGGACAAGUUAAACUUCUGUUUGGAGAUUCAGUUCAAGUGAAGACCAUGGGAAUGUGUUGUUUUGCUCCGUGUAACACCAUCUACAAUGCUCGUGCCAACCUGCCAUCCAUUGUGCCCAAUAUUGAAACUCUUAGCAUAUCUUCUGUUAGUGAGGUCAUUAAUACACCAAUUGUGCCUGUCAAAUUCCUCCACCUCAAGUAUUUGUCUAUUUCUCUUGAAGCCGAACAUGGGGCUUUCCCCCCAGUCUACGAUUACUUCUCUCUGGUUUCUUUUCUGGAUGCUUGUCCUGUCUUGGAAACUUUCCACUUGGCUGUGUCGCAGACUCGCAUGAAGCAUGAUUCGGUUUUCGGAGACCCGUCACAUCUUAGGCAGAGGCGAGAAUACCGCCAUGAGAACAUCAAGACUGUCAAGAUCUCUGGGUUUUGCUCUGCAAAGAGCAUGGUUGAGCUGACAUGUCAUAUUCUUGAGAAUGCAACAUCACUAGAGUGUCUUAUGUUGGACACGAUAGAUGAUGUUGACGAUAUUGGUAGGCACGUUCAUGAAACCGGUGAGUGUAACCCCAUUGGUAGGCAUAUGAUCAAAGAAGCCCGUGAGGCUCUCUUGGCAAUUGAAAGGUAUAUUAUGAAAAAAGUUCCCUCCACAGUAAAGUUAAAUGUUCUAGAGCCUUGCAGGCGAUGCCAUGCUUUUGCUGCUUAG
rnacentral:rRNA from 1 species